GACAGAGGGUGCAAACGUUGUUCGGAAUUACUGGGCGUAAAGCGCGUGUAGGCUGUUUUGCGAGUCGGAUGUGAAAGCCCUGGGCUCAACCUAGGAAGUGCACUCGAAACUGCAGAACUCGAGUCCUGGAGAGGAAGGCGGAAUUCUCGGUGUAGAGGUGAAAUUCGUAGAUAUCGAGAGGAACACCGGUGGCGAAGGCGGCCUUCUGGACAGUGACUGACGCUGAGACGCGAAAGCGUGGGGAGCAAACAGG
rnacentral:rRNA from 1 species